rnacentral:rRNA from 1 species
GACAGAGGGUGCAAACGUUGCUCGGAAUCACUGGGCGUAAAGGGCGCGUAGGCGGACAAGUAAGUCGGGCGUGAAAUCCCUAGGCUCAACCUAGGAACUGCACUCGAAACUGCAUGUCUUGAGUACCGGAGAGGAAAGCGGAAUACCUGGUGUAGAGGUGAAAUUCGUAGAUAUCAGGUGGAACACCAGUGGCGAAGGCGGCUCACUGGUCCGCAACUGACGCUGAGGCGCGAAAGCGUGGGGAGCAAACAGG